GAUGAACGCUGGCGGCGUGCCUAAUACAUGCAAGUCGAGCGAACGGACGAGAAGCUUGCUUCUCUGAUGUUAGCGGCGGACGGGUGAGUAACACGUGGAUAACCUACCUAUAAGACUGGGAUAACUUCGGGAAACCGGAGCUAAUACCGGAUGAUAUUUUGAACCGCAUGGUUCAAAAGUGAAAGACGGUCUUGCUGUCACUUAUAGAUGGAUCCGGGCUGCAUUAGCUAGUUGGUAAGGUAACGGCUUACCAAGGCAACGAUGCAUAGCCGACCUGAGAGGGUGAUCGGCCACACUGGAACUGAGACACGGUCCAGAUUCCUACGGGAGGAAGCAGUAGGGAAUCUUCCGCAAUGGGCGAAAGCCUGACGGAGCAACGCCGCGUGAUGGAUGAAGGUCUUCGGAUCGUAAAACUCUGUUAUUAGGGAAGAACAUAUGUGUAAGUAACUGUGCACAUCUUGACGGUACCUAAUCAGAAAGCCACGGCUAACUACGUG
rnacentral:rRNA from 1 species